rnacentral:rRNA from 1 species
AUUGAACGCUGGCGGCAGGCUUAACACAUCCAAGUCGAGCGAGCGGCGGACGGGUGAGUAAUGUCUGGGAAACUGCCUGAUGGAGGGGGAUCACUACUGGAAACGGUAGCUAAUACCGCAUACCAUCAGAUGUGCCCAGAUGGGAUUAGCUAGUAGUUGGGGUAAUGGCUCACCUAGGCGACGAUCCCUAGCUGGUCUGAGAGGAUGACCAGCCACACUGGAACGUAGCCACGGUCCAGACUCCUACGUGAGGCAGCAGUGGGGAAUAUUGCACAAUGGGCGCAAGCCUGAGGCAGCCAUGCCGCGUGUGUGAAGAAGGCCUUCGGGUUGUAAAGCACUUUCAGCGAGGAGGCGUUACUCGCAGAAGAAGCACCGGCUAACUCCGUGCCAGCCGCCGCGGUAAUAC